UCCAGCAGUGAAUCGAUUCAGUCAGGUGAUGAGGCUUUAAGGUCUGUUCUGGAGUGGGCACAGAGGGGCUGUGUUCCUGCACAUCCUCCUUCCAAGGCUUUAUUACCUUCGAUCCCACUCUUACGGGGAAGCAGACAUCUGUUUGGGGCUGGCAGAGGGUUUAACGGCGCACAACUGCCAUCCCAGAGAAUGGAGAGGGUUGGGACAGCCCCUGGGGAAGGUAACCUCGAGCUUUGCAGUUUCCUUCCAGACUGCUACAGCAUGGAUGGAGCCCCCAAAGAAACCUUCAUUCCUGUCCUAAAUGCAAGCAAAUGGAGAAUGAAGAUUGCUCUUUGUUACCUCACCGCUUCGAUGGAGUUGAUACCACGCUGGGAUGGCUGCACAGCCUCAGGAGCCUCUUGGAGACCGAUGCUAUUUUCUCCCCCCCUACACCACGCUCCUACUUUCUGAUUUGAGGCAAACUUAAAUUGAACGCCAGCACUUCAAAGGGGAAGGAGAACGCUCUGCCUGGGAAAUGUUUAACUGAGAUACUGAAGUGUUCCUGAAAUGAGCGGUGCCGUUUAGAAGACGUCAAAACAAAAAGCUUCAGCCUUCUGAGUUUCCU
ensembl:lncRNA